AACGAACGCUGGCGGCAUGCCUAACACAUGCAAGUCGAACGAGACCUUCGGGUCUAGUGGCGCACGGGUGCGUAACGCGUGGGAACCUGCCUUUAGGUUCGGAAUAACUCAGCGAAAUUUGUGCUAAUACCGGAUAAUGUCUUCGGACCAAAGAUUUAUCGCCUUUAGAUGGGCCCGCGUUGGAUUAGCUAGUUGGUGGGGUAAAGGCCUACCAAGGCGACGAUCCAUAGCUGGUCUGAGAGGAUGAUCAGCCACACUGGGACUGAGACACGGCCCAGACUCCUACGGGAGGCAGCAGUGGGGAAUAUUGGACAAUGGGCGAAAGCCUGAUCCAGCAAUGCCGCGUGAGUGAUGAAGGCCUUAGGGUUGUAAAGCUCUUUUACCCGAGAUGAUAAUGACAGUAUCGGGAGAAUAAGCUCCGGCUAACUCCGUG
rnacentral:rRNA from 1 species